rnacentral:piRNA from 1 species
AGGGUGGUCAUGUGACAAGCACAAUAA